rnacentral:rRNA from 1 species
ACUGCGUACCUUUUGUAUAAUGGGUCAGCGACUUAUAUUCUGUAGCAAGGUUAACCGAAUAGGGGAGCCGAAGGGAAACCGAGUCUUAACUGGGCGUUAAGUUGCAGGGUAUAGACCCGAAACCCGGUGAUCUAGCCAUGGGCAGGUUGAAGGUUGGGUAACACUAACUGGAGGACCGAACCGACUAAUGUUGAAAAAUUAGCGGAUGACUUGUGGCUGGGGGUGAAAGGCCAAUCAAACCGGGAGAUAGCUGGUUCUCCCCGAAAGCUAUUUAGGUAGCGCCUCGUGAAUUCAUCUCCGGGGGUAGAGCACUGUUUCGGCAAGGGGGUCAUCCCGACUUACCAACCCGAUGCAAACUGCGAAUACCGGAGAAUGUUAUCACGGGAGACACACGGCGGGUGCUAACGUCCGUCGUGAAGAGGGAAACAACCCAGACCGCCAGCUAAGGUCCCAAAGUCAUGGUUAAGUGGGAAACGAUGUGGGAAGGCCCAGACAGCCAGGAUGUUGGCUUAGAAGCAGCCAUCAUUUAAAGAAAGCGUAAUAGCUCACUGGUCGAGUCGGCCUGCGCGGAAGAUGUAACGGGGCUAAACCAUGCACCGAAGCUGCGGCAGCGAC